rnacentral:misc_RNA from 1 species
UGUAUGAGCAUCUGGCUAAAAGUGCACCAGCCAUUUUAGAUGAUUCUCUUUCUGCUGAUUCCUAUCUCAAUGUGUUGUUCCUACCAUCCAAAUUUCCACGGGCAGGGAGACUCAAGUUCUUUUUAGAAGCUUUCAAUGACAAUUUUUCCAACAGUACGCACUUCGAAGAACCUAGGAGCAACUUGGACAGUGUUAGAUAUGCUGAAUGCAUCAGUUAUUUUCAAGAUUAUGCUCGCCAACAUCUGUUUGAUUUCAUGUUUCGACAUGGCCAUUACAAGGAUGCUUGCUUG